UGGGAUGUCACAAACAACUCCUAAAGAAGUUGAAAGUCCAUGGGAAAUCUCUCUUCACCCAUGAGAGAUUUUUUUCCUAUUCAAGAGAGAUUUUUUCCUCUAAAAGGAAAGUUUCCUUUUAUUUUUCAUAUCUUUCUCAAGUGGUAAAAAGGAAACCAUGAUCAAAGAAUUUUGGAAAUUUAUCAAGGGAGAAUCAAGAUCAAAUCUUUCCAAAUUUCCAAACCAAGAUAAUGUCUUCCCAAAAAGGAAGUAUUCAACUACAAGAUAGCAGCUCGUCCAGACAGACGGCGUCAGUUUGAGAAAGAGCUUACAUCUCAGACAGAGGUUGCUCUUAAUAUAUUGACUGCAUGUUUAAACUUUAAUGGACUUAAGGAGCAGGUUCUUGAGGCCUUUGCUUCUUGGCUUCGACUAAGACACGGGUAAGUAUUUUCUUAGUUCUUUACUUCAUGAGCAUAUUUGUUUCAUGCCUUGCAUGAUAUUACCACUUUUUUCCUGUCACUUAUAUUGCUUCCAGAGUAGGACUUCUCUUUUUUGAUUGAAGUGUAUGGGGGAAUGGAAUUGUAUGUUUGUUUUUGAAUAAUGAGGCCCUACAUAUACAUAUUCUUGAUUAUAAGAAAUGGAAACCUACAAUUAAUUACAUGUAGGUAUUUCACUUAACUUUUAUCCUAACUACAUGUAAUAUGCACUUUUCAACAUUUUCCCUUAAAUUGGUGAACAAACAUUGUUCAUUCCUAAAUUGACAAUAAUUAUAUGGAACAAGAAUUAUUCAUUGAGUCAUCAUCCGGAAUUUUGAUUUUUCACUAGAUUUCACCAUUACAUUCUAUUUCUUGCUUCUCCAUGUGACCAAACUUCCUCCAAGGAAGGUACAAUAAU